AUGCAAGUCGAGCGAGAAAAGGGGGGCAACUCCCUGAGUACAGCGGCGCACGGGUGAGUAACACGUGGGUAAUCUGCCCUGGAGUGGGGAAUAACACCGGGAAACCGGUGCUAAUACCGCAUACGAUAACGAGGUCUGCGGACUUUGUUAUGAAAGGAGCAAUUCGCUCCAGGAGGAGCCCGCGGCUGAUUAGCUAGUUGGUGAGGUAAUGGCUCACCAAGGCAACGAUCAGUAUCCGGUCUGAGAGGACGGUCGGACACACUGGAACUGAGACACGGUCCAGACUCCUACGGGAGGCAGCAGUGGGGAAUUUUUGGCAAUGGGGGCAACCCUGACCAAGCAACGCCGCGUGGGUGAUGAAGUCUCUUGGGACGUAAAACCCUUUCGACGGGGAAGAAACCGCAAGGUUGACGGUACCCGUAUAAGAAGCCCCGGCUAACUCCGUGCCAGCAGCCGCGGUAAUACGGGGGGGGCAAGCGUCGUUCGGAAUUACUGGGCGUAAAGGGUGCGUANGCGGUGCUCU
rnacentral:rRNA from 1 species